GAUGAACGCUGGCGGCGUGCCUAAUACAUGCAAGUCGAGCGAAUGGAUUAAGAGCUUGCUCUUAUGAAGUUAGCGGCGGACGGGUGAGUAACACGUGGGUAACCUGCCCAUAAGACUGGGAUAACUCCGGGAAACCGGGGCUAAUACCGGAUAACAUUUUGAACCGCAUGGUUCGAAAUUGAAAGGCGACUUCGGCUGUCACUUAUGGAUGGACCCGCGUCGCAUUAGCUAGUUGGUGAGGUAACGGCUCACCAAGGCAACGAUGCGUAGCCGACGUGAGAGGGUGAUCGGCCACACUGGGACUGAGACACGGCCCAGACUCCGACGGGAGGCAGAAGUAGGGAAGCGUCCGCAAUGGACGAAAGUCUGACGGAGCAACGGCGCGUGAGUGAUGAAGGCUUUCGGGUCGUAAAACUCUGUUGUUAGGGAAGAACAAGUGCUAGUUGAAUAAGCUGACACCUUGACGGUACCUAACCAGAAAGCCACGGCUAACUACGUGCCAGCCGCCGCCGUAA
rnacentral:rRNA from 1 species